rnacentral:rRNA from 1 species
UACAGAGGUCCCGAGCGUUGUUCGGAAUCACUGGGCGUAAAGCGCAUGUAGGCGGUUCUUUAAGUCAGGGGUGAAAUGCCAAGGCUCAACCUUGGAACUGCCUUUGAUACUGGAGACCUUGAGUCCGGGAGAGGUGAGUGGAACUGCGAGUGUAGAGGUGAAAUUCGUAGAUAUUCGCAAGAACACCAGUGGCGAAGGCGGCUCACUGGCCCGGUACUGACGCUGAGAUGCGAAAGCGUGGGGAGCAAACAGG